rnacentral:rRNA from 1 species
AUACGUAGGGUGCGAGCGUUGUCCGGAAUUACUGGGCGUAAAGAGCUCGUAGGUGGUUUGUCGCGUCGUCUGUGAAAUUCCGGGGCUUAACUCCGGGCGUGCAGGCGAUACGGGCAUAACUUGAGUACUGUAGGGGAGACUGGAAUUCCUGGUGUAGCGGUGAAAUGCGCAGAUAUCAGGAGGAACACCGGUGGCGAAGGCGGGUCUCGGGGCAGUAACUGACGCUGAGGAGCGAAAGCAUGGGUAGCGAACAGGAUUAGAUCCCCUGGUAGUCCAUGCCGUAAACGGUGGGCGCUAGGUGUAGGGGUCUUCCACGACUUCUGUGCCGUAGCUAACGCAUUAAGCGCCCCGCCUGGGGAGUACGGCCGCAAGGCUAAAACUCAAAGGAAUUGACGGGG